UGAUAAUGCAUGCUUGCAAAUAUGAUUAAGGAGGCAAAAGUUCAAGCAACUGAAGAAAGCUGGAAGGGAUAAUGAUCUAUAUGAUCAUACUGGUUUAUUUGACAAUGAUGGAGCAGAUAGAAGUGGUCAUAAGGGAAGAAGUGCCGAGGAAAAGCUCAAGAACAGUUCAUUUGAUUACAAGGAAGCUCAACAUCUCAAGAAUGUUGUUGACGAAGAAAAGAAGCAGUUAACUUAGAGGAGGACGACAUGGAUGAUUUUAUUGUGAGCGAAGAGGAAUAUGAUGAGCAUGGAUCUCUUCUAAGGUAUCACCAUUGUUCAUGGUGUAAAAGAUGUUAACGAUCUCUUAAUGCUUCAGAAGAAGGGCCUGCUGAAAGACCCAGAUAAAAAUGAAAGUACUGUUGGUGAAGAAAAAGGAACACAUAAUCUGAAGUGGCAUAAGGAUAUGAGCCGGAAACCUCAUACUCAAGAAUUGAUUGCCAAGGAUUUGUAUGGAAAUGAAUGGAGGUUUCGCCACAUCUUUAGGGGUCAACCUAGAAGGCAUCUGCUCCAAAGUGGCUGGAGUGUCUUUGUUAGCUCCAAAAGGCUUGUUGCUGGGGAUGCAUUUAUAUUUCUAAGAGGUGAAAAUGAGG